rnacentral:rRNA from 1 species
AACGAACGCUGGCGGCAUGCCUAACACAUGCAAGUCGAACGAGACCUUCGGGUCUAGUGGCGCACGGGUGCGUAACGCGUGGGAACCUGCCCUUAGGUUCGGAAUAACUCCCCGAAAGGGGUGCUAAUACCGGAUAAUGUCUUCGGACCAAAGAUUUAUCGCCUUUGGAUGGGCCCGCGUUGGAUUAGCUAGUUGGUAGGGUAAAAGCCUACCAAGGCGACGAUCCAUAGCUGGUCUGAGAGGAUGAUCAGCCACACUGGGACUGGGACACGGCCCAGACUCCUACGGGAGGCAGCAGUGGGGAAUAUUGGACAAUGGACGAAAGCCUGAUCCAGCAAUGCCGCGUGAGUGAUGAAGGCCUUAGGGUUGUAAAGCUCUUUUACCCGGGAUGAUAAUGGCAGUACCGGGAGAAUAAGCUCCGGCUAACUCCGUG